GGCCUAUAGCUCAGCUGGUUAGAGCGCACGCCUGAUAAGCGUGAGGUCGAUGGUUCGAGUCC
rnacentral:tRNA from 1 species